CGGCUCUGGAUGCCACGCAUGAUUGCACUUAGAAUAGUAAUCUAUUCAGCAACACUCGCCUCAUCUGUUCAGUUCAAUGAAGGUAUUGGGAUGAAAAUAUGGGUCUGAACAGAUGUGGAAAGGUUGCGCGGCAAUAGAAGCGCCGGAACUGGACGAAUUUCUGGGUGGGCGGGUGGGUUGUUUUGUAUUUCGGUCAGAUUUGUGUCUCCUGACGGAAUUCACGCUAAAUGGUGCAAUUUCUGCUAGGUGUGGUCAUUUUAUACAUUGCCUGUGUUGGGUUUUGUACCGUUGCCAUCGCUCUUUCUCGAAUACGAAGCACAACAUACAACUUUGGAGUUUUACAAAAGAAUGUAUUUAAUAAUAAAAA